rnacentral:lncRNA from 1 species
AAAUAUAUAUAUUUUCAAACGCUCCGUUCAAGCAUUCACAAUCAUAAAAAGGCGUUUACUUCACGCGCAGCACCAGCCCACCACCUCAAAUUGAGUUUACAAACAAAACAAAAGAAAGGAAAGUAGUGGGACCCGUACACCCUCGUGGGCAGAAUUAUUGCUUACGAUUCCCCGUGGUCGCCGGGCCCCGCACCAUCAGUAUCAGUAUCAGUACCACACACUCACUUUGUUUGCAUGCCUUCCGUCCCUUUUCCCCCUUCCUCCUUCAAUUAAUUUGCCCUACUUUUCUUUCAAAAAUAAAAAAAUAAAUAAAAAUUUGCCCUACUUUAUUUAUAGGCUUUUUCAUCCUGCUUCUCCCUCUCCUUAAUAUAAAUAACUUCAAAAAAUUUUAAAAAACAAUUUUAACUCAGCUUAUAAUUACUUCACAUAUGUGAUAGUGCUGCAGUUCAG